rnacentral:rRNA from 1 species
UUAGGCGAAGUCAUUGAUCCUAUGCUGCCUAGAAAAGCCCAGCAGCGAGUUGACAUGGUGCCCGUACCCCAAACCAACACAGGUGGACAGGUAGAGCAUACCAAGGCGAGUGGGAUAACUAUGGUUAAGGAACUCGGCAAAUUGCCUCCGUAACUUCGGGAGAAGGAGGACCCCAGUAGCGUGAUGAGACUUGCUCUCUGAGCGUGAAGGGGUGGCACAAAAUUGAGGGAAGCGACUGUUUACCAAAAACACAGCAGCGUGCUAAGCCGUAAGGCGCUGUAUACGCUGUGACUCCUGCCCGGUGCUGGAAGGUUACGGGGAUGGGUUAGUCCUUCGGGACGAAGCUCUGAACCUAAGCCCCAGUAAACGGCGGCCGUAACUAUAACGGUCCUAAGGUAGCGAAAUUCCUUGUCGGGUAAGUUCCGACCUGCACGAAUGGAGUAACGACUUCCCUACUGUCUCAACCAUAGACCCAGCGAAAUUGAAGUACGAGUAAAGAUGCUCGUUAGCUGCAGAAGGACGGAAAGACCCCGUGGACCUUUACUAUAACUUGAUGUUGUGUUUUGUCAUAUGUUGUGUAGGAUAGGUGGGAGACUUGGAAGCAUGGACGCUAGUCUGUGUGGAGUCAUCGUUGAAAUACCACCCUGCAUAUGGUGAGGCUCUAACCUAGACCCGUUAUCCGGGUUGGGGACAGCGUCAGGCGGGUAGUUUAACUGGGGCGGUUGCCUCCUAAAGAGUAACGGAGGCGCCCAAAGGUUCCCUCAGCCUGGUUGGCAAUCAGGCGUUGAGUGCAAUGGCAAAAGGGAGCUUGACUGCGAGACCUACAAGUCGAGCAGGAGCGAAAGCUGGGCAUAGUGAUCCGGCGGUUGCGUGUGGAAGCGCCGUCGCUCAACGGAUAAAAGGUACCCCGGGGAUAACAGGCUAAUCUUGCCCAAGCGUCCAUAGCGACGGCAAGGUUUGGCACCUCGAUGUCGGCUCAUCGCAUCCUGGGGCUGAAGCAGGUCCCAAGGGUUGGGCUGUUCGCCCAUUAAAGCGGUACGCGAGCUGGGUUCAGAACGUCGUGAGACAGUUCGGUCCCUAUCCUCUGCAGCCGGAGGUGAAUUGAGGAAAGCUGUCCCUAGUACGAGAGGACCGGGACGGACGCAGCUCUCGUGUGCCAGUUGUCCUGCCAAGGGCAUGGCUGGUUAGCGACCUGCGGAAAGGAUAACCGCUGAAAGCAUCUAAGCGGGAAGCCUCUUCCAAGAUGAAUUCACCCACAGGGUUAACCUGGUAAGGCCCGUGGUAGACCACCACGUUGAUAGGCCGGAAGUGUAAGCGUGGCAACACGUUCAGCUGACCGGUACUAAUCGGCCGAGGGCUUGACU